rnacentral:rRNA from 1 species
CCGUCUAUAUACGUAUAGCAUAUCAAUAAGCGGAGGAAAAGAAACUAACAAGGAUUCCCCUAGUAACGGCGAGUGAAGCGGGAAGAGCUCAAAUUUGAAAUCUUAAAGGUUUUCCCUUGACGAAUUGUAGUUUAAAGAAGUGUUUUCGGUUAGAGGAGUUCGUAAAAGUUCUUUGGAAUAGGACAUCAUAGAGGGUGAGAAUCCCGUAUUUGACCUUACUUUCUAGCUGUGUGAUACACUUUCAAAGAGUCGGAUUGUUUGGGAAUGCAGUCCAAGAUGGGUGGUAAAUUUCAUCUAAAGCUAAAUAUUGGCGAGAGACCGAUAGCGAACAAGUACCGUGAGGGAAAGAUGAAAAGAACUUUGAGAAGAGAGUUAAACAGUACGUGAAAUUGUCAAAAGGGAAGCGUUUGACACCAGUGUUGUUUUCUCGAAAAUCAAUUACAAAUGGUUUUGUUUUAAGAGUUAUGACUUCAUCAGCUUUCUGCACUUUCUUUACUAAUCUUUCUUAAUGCACUUUUCGUUUAACAAGUCAACAUCAAUUUCUUUUGUUGUAAAAGGGUACAUGGAAGGUGGCUUUCUUUUCGGAGAAAGUGUAUAUAGCCUUGGACCUCUGCAAUCGGAGAGAUUGAGGUCUGCAGCGUAGAUCCUUCGGGGUUAGAUACAUUUGUGCUAAGUUAUAGCUUUUCAUAGACAACUUGUUGACUAUGAUUAAGUCAUUGUAGCUUACUCGCUUAUGCUAUUUUACCUACGCUUAGGAUGUUGACGCGCGUGUGUGCGUG